rnacentral:rRNA from 1 species
ACGGUCUCCUCGGGGCUUGCUACCGAUGGUGAGAGUGGCGCACGGGUGCGUAACGCGUGAGCAACCUGCCCAUAUCAGGGGGAUAGCCCGGAGAAAUCCGGAUUAACACCGCAUGACACUGUUUUCCGGCAUCGGGAGGUAGUCAAAUAUUCAUAGGAUAUGCAUGGGCUCGCGUGACAUUACCUAGUUGGUGGGGUAACGGCCCACCAAGGCGACGAUGUCUAGGGGCUCUGAGAGGAGAAUCCCCCACACUGGUACUGAGACACGGUCCAACUCUAUACGGGAGGCAGCAGUAAGGAAUAUUGGUCAAUGGGGGCAACCCUGAACCAGCCAUGCCGCGUGCAGGACGACUGCCCUAUGGGUUGUAAACUGCUUUUGUUAGGGAAUAAACCCCGCUACGUGUAGCGGGCUGAAUGUACCUAAAGAAUAAGGAUCGGCUAACUCCGUGCCAGCAGCCGCGGUAAUACGGAGGAUCCGAGCGUUAUCCGGAUUUAUUGGGUUUAAAGGGUGCGUAGGCGGCACUUUAAGUCAGGGGUGAAAGACGGCAGCUCAACUGUCGCAGUGCCCUUGAUACUGAAGUGCUUGAAUGCGGUUGAAGACGGCGGAAUGAGACAAGUAGCGGUGAAAUGCAUAGAUAUGUCUCAGAACACCGAUUGCGAAGGCAGCUGUC